AACGAACGCUGGCGGCAUGCCUAACACAUGCAAGUCGAACGAGAUCUUCGGGUCUAGUGGCGCACGGGUGCGUAACGCGUGGGAAUCUGCCCUUUGGUUCGGAAUAACAGUUGGAAACGACUGCUAAUACCGGAUGAUGACGAAAGUCCAAAGAUUUAUCGCCAGAGGAUGAGCCCGAGUAGGAUUAGCUAGUUGGUGUGGUAAAGGCGCACCAAGGCGACGAUCCUUAGCUGGUCUGAGAGGAUGGUCAGCCACACUGGGACUGAGACACGGCCCAGACUCCUACGGGAGGCAGCAGUGGGGAAUAUUGGACAAUGAGCGAAAGCCUGAUCCAGCAAUGCCGCGUGAGUGAUGAAGGCCUUAGGGUUGUAAAGCUCUUUUACCCGGGAUGAUAAUGACAGUACCGGGAGAAUAAGCUCCGGCUAACUCCGUGCCAGCCGCCGCAGUAA
rnacentral:rRNA from 1 species